GGGGGCGGGGUGACUAUACAUGCAAGUCGAGCGAAUGGAUUAAGAGCUUGCUCUUAUGAAGUUAGCGGCGGACGGGUGAGUAACACGUGGGUAACCUGCCCAUAAGACUGGGAUAACUCCGGGAAACCGGGGCUAAUACCGGAUAACAUUUUGAACCGCAUGGUUCGAAAUUGAAAGGCGGCUUCGGCUGUCACUUAUGGAUGGACCCGCGUCGCAUUAGCUAGUUGGUGAGGUAACGGCUCACCAAGGCAACGAUGCGUAGCCGACCUGAGAGGGUGAUCGGCCACACUGGGACUGAGACACGGCCCAGACUCCUACGGGAGGCAGCAGUAGGGAAUCUUCCGCAAUGGACGAAAGUCUGACGGAGCAACGCCGCGUGAGUGAUGAAGGCUUUCGGGUCGUAAAACUCUGUUGUUAGGGAAGAACAAGUGCUAGUUGAAUAAGCUGGCACCUUGACGGUACCUAACCAGAAAGCCACGGCUAACUACGUGCCAGCAGCCGCGGUAAUACGUAGGUGGCAAGCGUUAUCCGGAAUUAUUGGGCGUAAAGCGCGCGCAGGUGGUUUCUUAAGUCUGAUGUGAAAGCCCACGGCUCAACCGUGGAGGGUCAUUGGAAACUGGGAGACUUGAGUGCAGAAGAGGAAAGUGGAAUUCCAUGUGUAGCGGUGAAAUGCGUAGAGAUAUGGAGGAACACCAGUGGCGAAGGCGACUUUCUGGUCUGUAACUGACACUGAGGCGCGAAAGCGUGGGGAGCAAACAGGAUUAGAUCCCGGGGGAAUACUCAAAAAAA
rnacentral:rRNA from 1 species